GUGCAGACCCUGACCACGGCCAAAGCUUUUGUUCUCUCUCAGCUUCUUUACCCACCAUAAAACAUGAAUGCCGAGCUAGAGUCAGUGUACCUUGUAAACAUUUAUGUAGGCUGAAAACUGGAGGGUGGAUGGCGGUGGAAAAAAGCUGAAAACUUAAAUAAAGAAACUGUACUCUUGAUGUAACAAUGCGGGUCUCCCAUGAGAGCUCUGACAGCAGAUCUGAGAAGGGUUGCAAGGAGAAGGAGGCAUGAAUUGGCACGGGCAUCUUCUUCUGAAGACAUGGGCAGGUGGAUUGGGAUUUUACUUGCAGAGACGGGAUCCUCCACAGACCCGGAGGCUCUGCACUAUGACUACAUUGAUGUGGAGAUGUCUGCAAGUGUCAUUCAGACAGCCAAACAGACCUUCUGUUUCAUGAACAGGCGUGUUAUAUCUGCUAACCCAUAUCUAGGGGGCACCUCCAACGGCUAUGCCCACCCCAGCGGGACGGCACUUCAUUAUGACGAUGUCCCGUGCAUCAACGGCUCGUGGGAACCGGAAGACGGCUUUCCUGCUUCCUGCAGCAGAGGCUUGGGAGAAGAGGUGCUUUAUGAUAACGCAGGCCUGUACGAUAACUUGCCGCCUCCGCACAUCUUUGCCCGCUACUCUCCUGCUGACAGAAAGGCCUCUAGGCUGUCUGCUGACAAGCUGUCCUCUAACCAUUACAAAUACCCUGCCUCCGCUCAGUCUGUCACUAAUACCUCUUCUGUGGGGAGGGCGUCUCUCGGGCUCAACUCGCAGCUCAAGGGUAAAAAGCCCCCCGUGGCGUCUAAUGGGGUCACAGGAAAAGGGAAGACUCUGAGCAGUCAGCCAAAAAAAGCGGAUCCCGCGGCUGUUGUGAAAAGGAUGGGUUCGAAUGCUGCCCAGUACAAGUAUGGCAAGAACCGGGUAGAAGCAGAUGCCAAGCGGCUACAGACCAAAGAGGAGGAGCUGCUGAAGAGGAAAGAGGCCCUGCGGAAUAGGCUGGCCCAGCUCCGCAAGGAAAGAAAAGACCUUCGAGCGGCUAUGGAAGUGAACGCCGGCAGGAAGCCGCAGGCGAUCCUGGAGGAGAAGCUGAAGCAGCUGGAGGAGGAGUGCCGGCAGAAGGAGGCGGAGCGAGUCAGCCUGGAGCUGGAGCUGACGGAGGUCAAGGAGAGCCUGAAGAAAGCGCUGGCGGGCGGAGUCACCCUGGGGCUGGCCAUCGAGCCCAAGUCAGGGACAUCGAGUCCACAGUCUCCAGUGUUCAGGCACCGGACCCUGGAAAACUCGCCCAUCUCCAGCUGUGACACCAGUGACACCGAGGGCCCCGUGCCGGUGAACAGCGCGGCCGUCUUGAAGAAGAGCCAGGCGGCCCCGGGCAGCUCCCCCUGCCGAGGGCAUGUGCUGCGGAAGGCCAAGGAAUGGGAAUUGAAGAACGGGACAUAGGGGACAGCAGCACCACUCCAGCUUCAGAGACUGCACACCCCCUUGCCCGUGUCCUCAUCUGUGUGACGGCAGGAAGCUCUACCCAGAGUGGCCUCAGCUGCACGACUCCAGAGGCUCCACGACUGAGCUCUGAGGCCAGUGCCUGUCCCCCAGGCCCACUUGUAUUCUUUCUACUGUAAAAUGGCGCCUUUAAAAAAG
rnacentral:sRNA from 1 species